AGAUGUGAGGGCGAUCUGGCUGCGACAUCUGUCACCCCAUUGAUCGCCAGGGUUGAUUCGGCUGAUCUAGCUGGCUAGGCGGGUGUCCCCUUCCUCCCUCACCGCUCCAUGUGCGUCCCUCCCGAAGCUGCGCGCUCGGUCGAAGAGGACGACCUUCCCCGAAUAGAGGAGGACCAGUCUUCGGUCAAGGGUAUACGAGUAGCUGCGCUCCCCUGCUAGAACCUCCAAACAAGCUCAAGGUCCAGUCAUUCUUUAAUACAGAAUGAAACAAUGCACAGAACAUAGUACUACAGUCAGUAGGAGUUACUACUUCUAUUCAUU
rnacentral:snRNA from 1 species